UGGGGAAUUUUGGACAAUGGGCGAAAGCCUGAUCCAGCCAUGCCGCGUGAGUGAAGAAGGCCUUCGGGUUGUAAAGCUCAUUCGGCCGGGACGAAGUCGCACCGUCUAACAAACGGUGUGGAUGACGGUACCGGAAGAAGAAGGACCGGCUAACUACGUGCCAGCAGCCGCGGUAAUACGUAGGGUCCAAGCGUUAAUCGGAAUUACUGGGCGUAAAGCGUGCGCAGGCGGUUCGCAAAGACAGGUGUGAAAUCCCCGGGCUUAACCUGGGAACUGCGCUUGUAACUAGCGGGCUAGAGUGCGGCAGAGGGGGGUGGAAUUCCACGUGUAGCAGUGAAAUGCGUAGAGAUGUGGAGGAACACCGAUGGCGAAGGCAGCCCCCUGGGCUAGCACUGACGCUCAUGCACAAAAGCGUGGGGAGCAAACAGGAUUAGAUACCCUGGUAGUCCACGCCCUAAACGAUGGCGACUAGUUGUUGGGGGAUGAACUCCCUUAGUAACGCAGCUAACGCGUGAAGUCGCCCGCCUGGGGAGUACGGUCGCAAGAUUAA
rnacentral:rRNA from 1 species